UGAGUACGAGCUGCUACGGCAGCGAAGUGGGUGAUGUCAAGCUUCCAAGAAAAGCCCUAUACCCGUUAAGGCAUGAUGGCCUGUACCCGAAACCGACACAGGUGGGGUGGUAGAGAAUACCGAGGGGCGCGAGAUAACUCUCUCUAAGGAACUCGGCAAAAUGGCCCCGUAACUUCGGGAGAAGGGGUGCCACCGCAAGGUGGUCGCAGUGAAGAGGCCCAGGCGACUGUUUACCAAAAACACAGGUCUCCGCUAAGUCGCAAGACGAUGUAUGGGGGCUGACGCCUGCCCAGUGCCGGAAGGUUAAGGAAGCUGGUCAGCGUAAGCGAAGCUAGCGACUGAAGCCCCGGUGAACGGCGGCCGUAACAAUAACGGUCCUAAGGUAGCGAAAUUCCUUGUCGGGUAAGUUCCGACCCGCACGAAAGGCGUAACGAUCUGGGCGCUGUCUCGGAGAGAGGCUCGGCGAAAUAGAAUUGUCUGUGAAGAUGCGGACUACGUGCACCCGGACAGAAAGACCCUAUGAAGCUUUACUGUAGCUUGGUAUUGUGCUCGGGCUCGGAAUGCGCAGGAUAGGUGGGAGGCUAUGAACCAUUGCUUGUGGGUGAUGGUGAGCCACUGGUGAGAUACCACUCUUUCCGAGCUAGAGUUCUAACAGCCACCCGUUAUCCGGGGGCUGGACAGUAUCAGGUGGGCAGUUUGACUGGGGCGGUCGCCUCCUAAAAGGUAACGGAGGCGCGCAAAGGUUUGCUCAGGCUGGUUGGAAAUCAGCCGACGAGUGUAAAAGCAGAAGCAAGCUUGACUGUGAGACCUACAAGUCGAACAGGGAGGAAACUCGGCUUUAGUGAUCCGACGGUUCUGCGUGGAAGGGCCGUCGCUCAACGGAUAAAAGUUACUCUAGGAUAACAGGCUGAUCUCCCCCAAGAGUUCACAUCGACGGGGAGGUUUGGCACCUCGAUGUCGGCUCAUCGCAACCUGGGGCUGAAGUCGGUCCCAAGGGUUGGGCUGUUCGCCCAUUAAAGCGGUACGCGAGCUGGGUUCAGAACGUCGUGAGACAGUUCGGUCCAUAUCCGGUGCAUGCGCAGGAAUAUUGAGAGGAUUUCUCCCUAGUACGAGAGGACCGGGAGGAACGCACCUCUGGUGUACCAGUUAUCGUGCCAACGGUAAACGCUGGGUAGCCAUGUGCGGAGUGGAUAACCGCUGAAAGCAUCUAAGUGGGAAGCCCACCUCAAGAUGAGUAUUCCCAUGGGGUAACCCAGUAAGGUCACGGGAAGAACACCCGUUGAUAGGCUCUACGUGGAAGCGCAGUAAUGUGUGAAGCGGAGGAGUACUAAUAGACCGAGGGCUUGACC
rnacentral:rRNA from 1 species